UCCCCUGUAGCUCAACGGCAGAGCGGCGCCCUGUUAAGGCGAAGGUUCCAGGUUCGAGUCCUGGCAGGGGAG
rnacentral:tRNA from 1 species